UCACCAAAUAUAAAGAGAAAAAAGUCAAAGACUAUCAUAUGGAAAAUCAUCAAUUUACAAAAGAAAGCAGCAAGAGAGGUAGAAAAGAACAAGGGACUUAUAGAACAGCUCAGUGAAGGUGUAAAAAAAUAUGCUCCAUGCAAGAAAAAAUCAAAAGAGGCAAGGGUAGCUAACCUUACAUCAGACAAAUAGACUCCAAGCCAAGAAUAAUAAUGAGAGACAAAGAAGGUCAUUUAUAUAAUAAUAAAGGGGUAAAUUCAUCAAGAGGAUAUAAAGCUAUAAAUAUAUAUGCACUCACAUUAGAGCACCUAAAUACAUUAAGCAAAUACCAACAAAUGAUAGAUCAUCCAGACAGAAAAUCAACAAAGAAUCAUUGGACUCAGCCCAUAUUUUAAACCAAAUGGACUUAACAAAUAUAUACAGACAUUUUAUCCAACUGCAACAAAAUGCAAUCUUCUCAGAAAGCACAUGGAACAUUCUCUAGGAGUGAUCACAUGAUAAAUCAUACAAAACAAGUCAUAGCAAAUUAAAGAAGAUUAAAAUUGUGCCAGGUAUAUUUUCCAACCACAACUGUAUGAAACUAGAAAUAAAUAAUAGGAGAAAAGCUGGAAAAUUAACGCAAAUUAAACAACAUACUCCUGAGUAACCAAUAGUUCAAAGAAGAAAUCAAAAGGAAAUUUUAAAAAAUCUUGAAACAAAUGAAAAUGGAAAUGAGACAUACCAAAAUUUAUGGUAUGCAGCAAAAGCAGUUCCAAGAGGGAAGUUUACAGAAAUAUUAAGAAAAAAGAAAUAUAUAUGGGUACCUGGCUGGCUUAGUCAGUAUAAUAUGACUCUUAAUCUCAGGGUUGUGAGUUUAAGCCCUAUACUGGUGUAGAGAUUACUUAAAAUUUUUUUUAAAAUCUUUAAAAAAAAAAGUUUCUCUGGGGCACCUGGGUGGCUCAGUCAGGCCUCCAACUCUUGAUUUUAGCUUAGGUCAUGAUCUCAGGGCUGUGAGAUCAGGACCUGCAUUGGGUUCCACACUUAGCGCAGAGUCUACAUGAGAUUUUCUCUCUCUCUCCUUCUGCUCCUCCCCACUGCUUGUAUACUCUCUCCCUAAAUAAAUAAAUAAAAUCUCUGAAAGAAAAAGGAAAAAAAUACUAAAUAAAAAAACCUAACUUUGUACCUCAAGGAACUUAAAAAAAAAGACAAAGUAAGUCCAAAGUUAGCAGAAGAAAAGAAAUAACAAAAAAGAGAAAGAAGAAAAGAAAGAAAAAGAAAGGAAAAGAAGACCAGAAAUAGAAUUGAAAAGACCAAUGAAAUUAAGAACUGUGUUUUUUGAAAGAUAAACAAAAUUGUCAAACCUUAAGUAGACUAAAAGAGAGAAGACUCAAAUAAAUAAAAUCAGAAAUAGAAGAGGAGACACUAUAAUAUACCACAGAAAUAAAGAUCAUAAAAGAACAUUUAUACGCCAACAAAUUGGAUAGCCCAGAAGAAAUAGAUAAAUUUCUAAAAUAUACCUACCAAAAUUAAAUCAUGAAGAAAUAUAAAAUUGUGAUGAACCAAUUAGGAGUAAGGAAAUUGAAUCAGUAAUCAAAAACCACCCAACAAAAGCCAUACCAGAUGGCUUCACUGGUGGGUUAUACCAAAUACUUAAGGAA
rnacentral:lncRNA from 1 species